AAGUGCAUAUAAUUACGAAAACGCCACUAGAAUAGAAGCAAAAGAAGCCUUUCGAUUUGUUCACCUUCCUUCCUUGGUCGGUUGCAAAUUGCAAUCGUCACAACCGCCACCAUCCCACAAUCUUCCCAACUCUAGGGUCUCUCCAGUCUAGGUCUCAGUUUAUUUCAGAUGGCGAGAUACUCAGCUGGUACGGUUGAUUGUCCAGGCUCACCCAAAUCAGUACGAAUCGUUGUGGUUGGUGACAAGGGCACUGGCAAAUCCAGCUUGAUUGUCGCUGCAGCCUCUGAUUCUUUCCCUCCUAAUGUCCCUCCUGUGCUCCCUGAUACCAACCUUCCUUUGGAGUUCUUCCCUGACGGCGUCCCCGUCACCAUUGUUGACACCUCCUCUAGGCCGGAAGAUAGGGAGAUGGUUGCCGAGGAGUUGAGGAAUGCAGAUGCGGUGGUUUUGACAUACGACUGUGAUCGUCCUGAGACUCUCCAAGGUUUGACUACUUACUGGCUUCCAGAGCUUCGGCGUUUAGAGGUUAAAGUUCCUAUAAUAGUAGCAGGGUGUAAGCUUGACUUGAGAGACGACAAUAACCCAGUCAGCCUCGAACAAGUGAUGUCACCGAUAAUGCAUCAGUUUCGGGAGAUUGAGACCUGUAUCGAGUGUUCUGCCCUGAAACAACUCCAGGCACAAGAAGUUUUCUAUUAUGCACAAAAAACAGUUCUUCACCCAACAGGACCUCUGUUCGAUCAAGAAUCCCAAUCAUUGAAACCCCGGUGUGUAAGAGCUUUGAAGCGUAUCUUUAUACUCUGUGACCAUGACAGAGAUGGUGCUCUUAGCGAGGCUGAGUUAAAUGAUUUUCAGGUCAAGUGUUUCAAUGCACCCUUGCAACCUUCUGAAAUUGAAGGUGUAAAGAGGGUUGUGCAAGAAAAGUUGCCAGAAGGUGUGAAUGAAAGAGGACUGACAGUGACCGGUUUCCUGUUUCUACAUGCACUUUUUAUUGAGAAAGGGAGGCUCGAGACAACAUGGACUGUACUUAGGAAGUUUGGGUAUAACAACGAUAUAAGACUCGCUGAUGAAUUGCUUCCACCUUCAUUAUUCAAGCGAGCACCUGAUCAGAGUGUCGAGUUGACGGAUGUAGCAAUCGACUUCCUGAAAGGAAUGUAUGUGUUGUUUGAUGACGAUGGGGAUAAUAAUCUAAGACCUCAAGAGAUCGAGGAUCUUUUUUCAACUGCACCUGAAAGUCCUUGGACGGAAGCUCCUUAUGUGGAUGCGGCAGAGAAAACUGCCCUUGGAGGACUAUCGUUUGAUGCUUUCCUGUCACUGUGGUCACUGAUGACACUAUUAGAACCGGCUCGGAGUGUGGAACAUUUGAUUUACAUUGGAUUCCCGGGUGAUCCAUCUUCUGCAAUUCGUCUUACUAGGAGAAGACGUUUAGAUCGCAAAAAGCAACAAUGUGAAAGAAAAGUAUUCCAGUGCUUUGUUUUCGGACCCAAUAACGCUGGAAAAUCUGCAUUACUGAAUUGCUUUCUUGGAAGGUCAUAUGCUGAUAACGCGGGAUCAACCGCUGAUGAGCGCUAUGCAGUAAAUAUGGUCGAUGAAUCUGGGGGUGCAAAGAAAACGCUUGUGAUGAGGGAAAUGCCAGAAGAUGGGGCUAAAGGGCUAUUUUCAUCCAAGGAGUCGUUGGCUGCAUGUGACAUAGCUGUCUUCGUGUAUGACAGUGCUGAUGAAUCUUCAUGGAAGACAGCAACUGAGUUGCUUGUAGAAGUCGCAACUCACGGUGAGGCCACUGGAUAUGAGGUCCCUUGCCUCAUGGUUUCAGCGAAAGACGAUCUUGAUUCAUUCCCGAUCUCCAUACAAGAAUCCACCAGGGUGACGCAGGAUAUGGGAAUAGAGCCUCCGGUAUCCAUCAGCUCCAAAUUGGGGGACUUCAACAACUUAUUCCGCAAAAUACUAACAGCAGCGCAACAUCCUCAUCUGAGUAUUCCAGAGACCGAAGCGGGAAAAAGCCGCAAACAUUACAACAGGCUAAUCAACCGCUCUCUUAUGGCUGUCUCAAUUGGAGCUGCUGCUGUGGUCGUUGGGCUGGCUGCAUACCGCGUGUAUGCAGCAAGAAAGAGCACUUCUGCCUGAGAAGAUUGAGAAUGAAGAACCUAAUGUCUCAAGACAUGCUGUUGAAACAUAACCUGAUAACAAGUACAGUAUCUUUGUACACGAGCUCGUCCUGAUGGAACCAUUGGAGAGUACACAUGGAUGACAUAUGCGGAAACAGCUUCUGCUAGACAAGCCAUAGGUUCUGGACUUCUGUAUAAUGGAAUUAAUCUUGUAUGUUUUCUUUUUUUUAUAUUUUGUUUCCCUCAACCAUUGUUCUAAUUUGGAUAUGAAACGGCGAGCUUCACCAAAAUUUUCUUGUUUUAUUGAUCGAUAGUUUGCCUUAAUUAAAGACUAGAAUUAAUGGAA